rnacentral:lncRNA from 1 species
UCCCCCUCUUUUUCUUUUUAAGUAAAAUUUAUAGAAAAUAGAAAAAAUAUAAAAACCAAAACUAGAGCCAAUAUUACUAUUCUUUAAACCCUCCUUAAGCUAGAUUUCUAGUAGCAAUUCUUCUUAUUCCUUUUCUUCUCCAACUCCUUCAACCUCAAGCCACCCAAAGAAACCCUAAUCCAACUUUUUAAAAGUCUGAAAACCAUCUUUUAAGGAAAAGAAGACCUAUUGAUGGAUGCUAGAGGUCUAACAUGAGUA